rnacentral:lncRNA from 1 species
AUAAAGAAAGUACAUAUUGAUUCUCAUUGUCUCUGAAAACUGAGUGAACAUACAUAUUGCAGAAUUUUUCUGAGAAAAGGAACCUCUGAGAUGUAUGUUCACGUUUUCCAUGUAACAAUCUGGGAGGAAAGGGAUCAACAGCAUGCUGAUCCCACUCUUACGUAUUGAAAUAAGAUGAAAGAAACACUGAAAGAGAACUGAUACCCUAUGGUGGUUUGGGUGAGGUCUGCCCAGGGGAUAAAACAUCAAGUUUGCUGCAUACAAAGAAGUCCAUCCAGGAAAUCAGUUGCCAAUCUCACCUUCUUUCAUGUACCCCCAGUCUCUUCUAUUGAUUCUUUUGGAGCUGUUCCCCGUUUGGCUUUAUAGGAAGAGAAGGAAAAGAAGUCAAAACAUCCUUCCUCAGGUGGAAGACUCAAGAUUCCUUGAAUGUAUUGAAUUUUCUAGGGGUUGGGAGGGAAGAUGAGGAUUCAGGAAGUGAUGGAGAGUAGCCAAGCUGAUUUGGACACUUUUUGGUAAGCCCUGGACAAAGUUCUGGACUCCACUGUUUUCAGUUCUGUUUUGAAUAGGCCUGUGGUAGGUAGAAUAAUGGCCUUCCAGAGAAGUCCAUGUCCUAAUCUCUGGGACCUAUGAAUAUGUAACAUUGCAUGGCAAAGGGGAAUUAAGGCAGCAGAUGAAUUUAAGGUUAGUAAUCAGCUGGACUUAAAAUAGGGAUGUUGUCCUGGUGGAUUAUCCAAGUGGAUCCAAUGUCAUCACAAGGGUCAUUGAAUAUGGACAAAGGAGGCAGAGGAGUCAGUGUCACAGUGAUGUGACAUGAGAGUUGACCAGCCCUUGCUUGCUUUGAAGGUGGAAAGGGACCACAGCCAAGGAAUGCAAGCAACCUCUAGAAGCUGGAAAAGAAGACCAGGCCAUGACAAAACUCAGAGGUGCUUACUACUCCUUCAGGAUACAAAGAGACGAGAACCCUGGAGAGGGAUAUGGGCAGUGGCCUUUGAAACAGAAACCUGUGUCUUGCUUCUUAUCCGCCACUGGCAACUCAUGAUGAUGAUGGUGAAUGCCGUGAUGAGGAUGCUGAGGAUGGUGAUGAUGACAAGGAUGGUGACGACUUGCGUCGAGCACUACGUGCAGAUACUCUUUCGCUUCACUGGGUUUAUACGUGGGACGCCUACCACAGCAUGGCUGCCAAGCAGUGCCAUGUCCGCACCCGGGAUCCGAACCAGCGAACCCCGGGCCGCCGAGGAGCGGAACGUGCGAACAUAACCGCUGCGCCACCGGGCCGGCCCCGAUCUCUUUCUAUUUUAGACAAUUUUGCACAAGGCACCAUUCCAAAUGCUCG